UACAGAGGGGGCAAGCGUUAUUCGGAAUGAUUGGGCGUAAAGCGUCCGCAGGUGGCUAUGUAAGUCUGCUGUUAAAGAGUCUAGCUCAACUAGAUAAGAGCAGUGGAAACUACAAGGCUAGAGUACGUUCGGGGCAGAGGGAAUUCCUGGUGUAGCGGUGAAAUGCGUAGAGAUCAGGAGGAACACCAAUGGCGAAGGCAGCUUGCUGGGACGGUACUGACGCUGAGACGCGAAAGCGUGGGGAGCAAACAGG
rnacentral:rRNA from 1 species